rnacentral:rRNA from 1 species
CCUACGGGGGGCAGCAGUGGGGGAUAUUGCACAAUGGGGGCAACCCUGAUGCAGCGACGCCGCGUGAGCGAUGGCGUACUUCGGUAUGUAAAGCUCUGUCAGCAGGGAAGAGAAUGACGGUACCUGACCAAGAAGCCCCGGCUAAAUACGUGCCAGCAGCCGCGGUAAUACGUAUUGGGCAAGCGUUAUCCGGAUUUACUGGGUGUAAAGGGAGCGUAGGCGGCAGGGCAAGCCUGAUGUGAAAGCCCGGGGCUCAACCCCGGGACUGCAUUGGGAACUGCCCCGCUCGAGUGCCGGAGGGUCAGGCGGGAUUCCUAGGGUGACGGGGAAAUGCGUAGAUAUUUGGAUGAACACCAGUGGCGAAGGCGGCCUGCUGGACGGUGUACUGACGCUGAGGCUCGAAAGCGUGGGGAGCAAACAGGAUUAGAUACCCUUGUAGUC